rnacentral:rRNA from 1 species
UACGUAGGGGGCAAGCGUUGUCCGGAAUCAUUGGGCGUAAAGAGCGCGUAGGCGGCCCUGUAAGUCCGCUGUGAAAGUCAAGGGCUCAACCCUUGGAUGCCGGUGGAUACUGCAGGGCUAGAGUCCGGAAGAGGCGAGUGGAAUUCCUGGUUUAGCGGUGAAAUGCGCAGAUAUCAGGAGGAACACCGAUGGCGAAGGCAGCUCGCUGGGACGGUACUAACGCUGAGGCGCGAAAGCGUGGGGAGCAAACAGG